GGGGGGACCAUCCUCCAAGGCUAAAUACUCCUGACUGACCGAUAGUGAACCAGUACCGUGAGGGAAAGGCGAAAAGAACCCCGGCGAGGGGAGUGAAAAAGAACCUGAAACCGUGUACGUACAAGCAGUGGGAGCCCCACCACUAAGCCAGUGGUGAACUCCACAUCCGCAUCCUUUGCUGAGGAUACGGUUAACGGAGCGAAAGCGACGUUCAACCGCAAAACAAGCAGAGGGGGCUUAGUGGUGGGGUGACUGCGUACCUUUUGUAUAAUGGGUCAGCGACUUAUAUUCUGUAGCAAGGUUAACCGAAUAGGGGAGCCGGAGGGAAACCGAGUCUUAAUUGGGCGUUAAGUUGCAGGGUAUAGACCCGAAACCCGGUGAUCUAGCCAUGGGCAGGUUGAAGGUUGGGUAACACUAACUGGAGGACCGAACCGACUAAUGUUGAAAAAUUAGCGGAUGACCUGUGGCUGGGGGUGAAAGGCCAAUCAAACCGGGAGAUAGCUGGUUCUCCCCGAAAGCUAUUUAGGUAGCGCCUCGUGAAUUCAUCUCCGGGGGUAGAGCACUGUUUCGGCUAGGGGGCCAUCCCGGCUUACCAACCCGAUGCAAACUGCGAAUACCGGAGAAUGUUAUCACGGGAGACACACGGCGGGUGCUAACGUCCGUCGUGAAGAGGGAAACAACCCAGACCGCCAGCUAAGGUCCCAAAGUCAUGGUUAAGUGGGAAACGAUGUGGGAAGGCCCAGACAGCCAGGAUGUUGGCUUAGAAGCAGCCAUCAUUUAAAGAAAGCGUAAUAGCUCACUGGUCGAGUCGGCCUGCGCGGAAGAUGUAACGGGGCUAAACCAUGCACCGAAGCUGCGGCAGCGAACGUAUCACCCAAGACAACUUUACGGAGUUGACGAUUGACGGAGCGAAGCGACGUCAAAGCGUUCAUUAAAGUCGAGUUGGCUUAGGGAUACGUUCGUUGGGUAGGGGAGCGUUCUGUAAGCCUGUGAAGGUGUGUCGUGAGGCAUGCUGGAGGUAUCAGAAGUGCGAAUGCUGACAUAAGUAACGAUAAAGCGGGUGAAAAGCCCGCUCGCCGGAAGACCAAGGGUUCCUGUCCAACGUUAAUCGGGGCAGGGUGAGUCGACCCCUAAGGCGAGGCCGAAAGGCGUAGUCGAUGGGAAACGGGUUAAUAUUCCCGUACUUGGUGUUACUGCGAAGGGGGGACGGAGAAGGCUAUGUUGGCCGGGCGACGGUUGUCCCGGUUUAAGCGUGUAGGUGUGUGUUCCAGGUAAAUCCGGUU
rnacentral:rRNA from 1 species